GAUGAACGCUGGCGGCGUGCCUAAUACAUGCAAGUCGAGCGAACAGACGCGGAGCUUGCUCCUCUGACGUUAGCGGCGGACGGGUGAGUAACACGUGGAUAACCUACCUAUCAGACUGGGAUAACUUCGGGAAACCGGAGCUAAUACCGUAUAAUAUAUUGAACCGUAGGGUUCAAUAGUGAAAGACGGUUUUGCUGUCACUUAUAGAUGGAUCCGCGCCGCAUGAGCUGGUUGGGACGGUAACGGCCUACCAAGGGAAGGAUGCGUAGCCGACCGGCGAGGGUGAUAGGCCACACGGGAACUGAAACGGGCACCAUACUCCUGCGGGAGGGAGCAGACGCGAAUCUUCCGCAAUGGUCGAGAGCAUGACGGAGCAAGGCGGCGCCAGAGAUGAAGGUCUCGGGAGCGUAAAACUCUGUUAUUAGGUAAAAACCAAUGUGGACGGAAAUAUGCACGUCGUGACGGUAACUAAUCAGAAAGCCACGGCUAACUACGUG
rnacentral:rRNA from 1 species